UACGGAGGGUGCAAGCGUUAUCCGGAUUUACUGGGCGUAAAGGGCGCGUGGGCGGCAUGACAAGUCACUUGUGAAAUCUCUGGGCUUAACCCAGAACGGCCAAGUGAUACUGUCGCGCUAGAGUGCAGAAGGGGCAAUCGGAAUUCUCGGUGUAGCGGUGGAAUGCGUAGAGAUCGGGAAGAACAUCGGUGGCGAAGGCGGUCUGCUGGGCCGUUGCUGACGCUGAGGCGCGACAGCGUGGGGAGGCAAA
rnacentral:rRNA from 1 species